rnacentral:rRNA from 1 species
GAUCCUGGCUCAGGACGAACGCUGGCGGCGUGCCUAACACAUGCAAGUCGAGCGGAGACAGUGAGUAGCUUGCUAUGAGCUGUUUUUAGCGGCGGACGGGUGAGUAACGCGUGAGCAACCUUUCCCAGACAGGGGAAUAACACACCGAAAGGUGUACUAAUACCGCAUAAGACCACGGUUUCACAUGGAACUGAGGUAAAAGAUUUAUCGGUUUGGGGUGGGCUCGCGUCCGAUUAGGUAGUUGGUGAGGUAACGG